AGUGAACGCUGGCGGUAGGCCUAACACAUGCAAGUCGAACGGCAGCACAGUAAGAGCUUGCUCUUACGGGUGGCGAGUGGCGGACGGGUGAGGAAUACAUCGGAAUCUACUUUUUCGUGGGGGAUAACGUAGGGAAACUUACGCUAAUACCGCAUACGACCUACGGGUGAAAGCAGGGGAUCUUCGGACCUUGCGCGAUUGAAUGAGCCGAUGUCGGAUUAGCUAGUUGGCGGGGUAAAGGCCCACCAAGGCGACGAUCCGUAGCUGGUCUGAGAGGAUGAUCAGCCACACUGGAACUGAGACACGGUCCAGACUCCUACGGGAGGCAGCAGUGGGGAAUAUUGGACAAUGGGCGCAAGCCUGAUCCAGCCAUACCGCGUGUGUGAAGAAGGCCAUCGGGUUGUAAAGCCCUUUUGUUGGGAAAGAAAAGCAGCAGGUUAAUACCCCGCUGUUCUGACGGUACCCAAAGAAUAAGCACCGGCUAACUUCGUG
rnacentral:rRNA from 1 species